rnacentral:rRNA from 1 species
UGCCAGCCGCCGCGGUAAGACGGAGGAUGCAAACGUUGCUCGGAAUCACUGGGCGUAAAGCGCGUGUAGGCUGAUGUCCAAGUCAGAUGUGAAAUCCCCGGGCUCAACCCGGGAACUGCAUUUGAAACUGGGCGUCUUGAGUGCUGGAGAGGAAAGCGGAAUUCCUGGUGUAGGGGUGAAAUUCGUAGAUAUCAGGAGGAACACCGGUGGCGAAGGCGGCUUUCUGGACAGUAACUGACGCUGAGACGCGAAAGCGUGGGGAGCAAACAGGAUUAGAUA